rnacentral:tRNA from 1 species
UCCCUCUUGGCUUAGAUGGUAAAGAAUCUGCCUGAAAUGCAGGAGACCUGGGUUCAACCCCUGGGUUGGGAC